GUUGAACGCUGGCGGCAUGCUUUACACAUGCAAGUCGAACGGCAGCACGGGGGCAACCCUGGUGGCGAGUGGCGAACGGGUGAGUAAUGCAUCGGAACGUGUCCUUAAGUGGGGGAUAACGCACCGAAAGGUGUGCUAAUACCGCAUAAUCUCUACGGAGAAAAGCAGGGGAUCGCAAGACCUUGCGCUUUUGGAGCGGCCGAUGUCUGAUUAGCUAGUUGGUGAGGUAAAGGCUUACCAAGGCGUCGAUCAGUAGCUGGUCUGAGAGGACGACCAGCCACACUGGGACUGAGACACGGCCCAGACUCCUACGGGGGGCAGCAGUGGGGAAUUUUGGACAAUGGGGGAAACCCUGAUCCAGCCAUGCCGCGUGAGUGAAGAAGGCCUUCGGGUUGUAAAGCUCUUUCAGCCGGAACGAAACGGUCACGGCUAAUACCUGUGACUACUGACGGUACCGGAAGAAGAAGCACCGGCUAACUACGUGCCAGCAGCCGCGGUAAUACGUAGGGUGCAAGCGUUAAUCGGAAUUACUGGGCGUAAAGCGUGCGCAGGCGGUUUUGUAAGUCAGAUGUGAAAUCCCCGGGCUUAACCUGGGAACUGCGUUUGAAACUACAAGGCUAGAGUGUGGCAGAGGGGGGUGGAAUUCCACGUGUAGCAGUGAGAUGCGUAGAGAUGUGGAGGAACACCGAUGGCGAAGGCAGCCCCCUGGGUUAACACUGACGCUCAGGCACGAAAGCGUGGGGAGCAAACAGGAUUAGAUACCCUGGUAGUCCACGCCCUAAACGAUGUCAACUAGUUGUCGGAUCUUAACGGACUUGGUAACGCAGCUAACGCGUGAAGUUGACCGCCUGGGGAGUACGGUCGCAAGAUUA
rnacentral:rRNA from 1 species